rnacentral:pre_miRNA from 1 species
GCAGGAAAAGAGGAAAGUUUCAAAGUAGAAGAAAAAUGAAAAGUGUCCUCAACUGUUCAUUUUUCUUCUACUUUGAAAUUUUCCUCUUUUCCUGC